rnacentral:tRNA from 1 species
AGAGCGUUAGUUUAACUUAAAACACAACCUUGUCAAGGUUGAAAUGUGACCAAUACAAUUAACACCCUCUA